AUACGGAGGAUGCGAGCGUUAUCCGGAUUUAUUGGGUUUAAAGGGUGCGUAGGCUGUGCGUUAAGUCAGGGGUGAAAUGCCGUCGCUCAACGACGGAGCUGCCCUUGAUACUGGCGUGCUGGAGUACGGAUGCCGUUGGAGGCAUGAGUGGUGUAGCGGUGAAAUGCUUAGAUAUCACUCAGAACACCGAUUGCAAAGGCAGCUACCAAACCCUUCACUGACCCUGAGGCACAAAAGCGUGGGGAUAGAACAGGAUUAUGUACCCUGGUAUGCCACGCCGUAAACGAUGAUGACUAACCGUCGGCGAUCGACAGCCGGCGGCCAAGCGAAAGCGAUAAGUCAUCCCCCUGGGUGGUACGUCGGCAACGAUGAAACUCAAAUGAAUUGACGGGG
rnacentral:rRNA from 1 species